GUCGAACGAAGAGUGAUGGGAGCUUGCUCCUAUCAAUCUUAGUGGCGAACGGGUGAGUAACGCGUAAUCAACCUGCCCUUCAGAGGGGGACAACAGUUGGAAACGACUGCUAAUACCGCAUACGAUCCAACCUCGGCAUCGAGGAUGGAUGAAAGGUGGCCUCUAUUUAUAAGCUAUCACUGAAGGAGGGGAUUGCGUCUGAUUAGCUAGUUGGAGGGGUAACGGCCCACCAAGGCAAUGAUCAGUAGCCGGUCUGAGAGGAUGAACGGCCACAUUGGGACUGAGACACGGCCCAGACUCCUACGGGAGGCAGCAGUGGGGAAUCUUCCGCAAUGGACGAAAGUCUGACGGAGCAACGCCGCGUGAGUGAUGACGGCCUUCGGGUUGUAAAGCUCUGUUAAUCGGGACGAAAGGUCCUCUUGCGAAUAGUUAGAGGAAUUGACGGUACCGGAAUAGAAAGCCACGGCUAACUACGUGCCAGCAGCCGCGGUAAUACGUAGGUGGCAAGCGUUGUCCGGAAUUAUUGGGCGUAAAGCGCGCGCAGGCGGAUCAGUCAGUCUGUCUUAAAAGUUCGGGGCUUAACCCCGUGAUGGGAUGGAAACUGCUGAUCUAGAGUAUCGGAGAGGAAAGUGGAAUUCCUAGUGUAGCGGU
rnacentral:rRNA from 1 species